AACAGCUUAAUGCUUAGCAGAGCUCAAAGAAAAAUCUGUUUGGUUCACCUUGGCCGAGCGCUUGAUGACGGGAGCUGCUGAAACGUCAGCCGACACCUGGCAGUUUCCUGAAAACCCUUGCGUAGGAUGCCAGCUUGAGCAAAGCCUGAUGGGAGAAUUUGAGCUCUGAAUAAGAUGCACUUUGACACCUGUGUGCUGACCUGGGCAACACCCAGCAACUACAGUGCCUAACGCCUUGGUGUUGUGUGCUGCACGCGAUCUUGGCUUUCUCUGUAGUUCUUGUUUUAAUCUGAUAUACUAAUGGUGGAAACUGAUUCUAGAUCGCAGUGGAGGGUAGGCAUCGUAGAGACCUCUCACUAAACAAACAAACAAACAAAACAAACUUGUUCUGGCUUCUUAGAUCACGGGAUGCUCUCGGGUGCUUUUGCCUUCUGCGAGUUGGCAACUUAAAAUACGCUUACCCAGUGCUUACACAACACGGUGGAAUCCAAUUCCUUUUCCACAAAAAACAAAAAAACAACAACAUUUCAUUUAAUAUAGGCCCAAAACAUGCAACUUGAGUAUUCUUUCUUGUUCCUUUUCCACCCCACUCCCGAUUUUCAAGUUGCAAGAUGGGGGGGGAAAUUGAAUCCAUUUGGUAUCCAAUAAAAGACAUUU